rnacentral:rRNA from 1 species
GACGAACGCUGGCGGCGUGCUUAACACAUGCAAGUCGAGCGGUAAGGCCCUUCGGGGUACACGAGUGGCGAACGGGUGAGUAACACGUGGGUGAUCUGCCCUGCACUUCGGGAUAAGCCUGGGAAACUGGGUCUAAUACCGGAUAGGACCACUGCCUGCAUGGGUGGUGGUGGAAAGCUUUUGCGGUGUGGGAUGGGCCCGCGGCCUAUCAGCUUGUUGGUGGGGUGAUGGCCUACCAAGGCGACGACGGGUAGCCGGCCUGAGAGGGUGACCGGCCACACUGGGACUGAGAUACGGCCCAGACUCCUACGGGAGGCAGCAGUGGGGAAUACUGCACAAUGGGCGCAAGCCUGAUGCAGCGACGCCGCGUGAGGGAUGACGGCCUUCGGGUUGUAAACCUCUUUCAGCACCGACGAAGCGCAAGUGACGGUAGGUGCAGAAGAAGGACCGGCCAACUACGUGCCAGCCGCCGCUGUAA